AACGAACGCUGGCGGCGUGCCUAACACAUGCAAGUCGAGCGCGAAAAGGGCAACCUGAGUAGAGCGGCGCACGGGUGCGUAACACGUGGGUAAUCUGCCUUAGAGUCGAGGAUAACCUUCCGAAAGGUUGGCUAAUACUCGGUAAGCUUACGGUGUCUUCGGACGCUGUGGGAAAAGUAGGCCUCUGUUUACAAGCUUACGCUCUGAGAUGAGCCCGCGGCCCAUCAGCUAGUUGGCGGUGUAACGGACCACCAAGGCAACGACGGGUAGCCGGUCUGAGAGGACGAUCAGCCACACUGGAACUGAGACACGGUCCAGACUCCUACGGGAGGCAGCAGUGGGGAAUUUUCCACAAUGGGCGAAAGCCUGAUGGAGCAACGCCGCGUGUGUGAUGAAGGUUUUCGGAUCGUAAAGCACUUUCGACUGGGACGAAAAACCUUUGGCUAACAUCCAGGGGCCUGACGGUACCAGGAGAAGAAGCACCGGCUAACUCUGUGCCAGCAGCCGCAGUAACAC
rnacentral:rRNA from 1 species